GAUGAACGCUGGCGGCGUGCCUAAUACAUGCAAGUCGAGCGAACGGACGAGAAGCUUGCUUCUCUGAUGUUAGCGGCGGACGGGUGAGUAACACGUGGAUAACCUACCUAUAAGACUGGGAUAACUUCGGGAAACCGGAGCUAAUACCGGAUAAUAUUUUGAACCGCAUGGUUCAAAAGUGAAAGACGGUCUUGCUGUCACUUAUAGAUGGAUCCGCGCUGCAUUAGCUAGUUGGUAAGGUAACGGCUUACCAAGGCAACGAUGCAUAGCCGACCUGAGAGGGUGAUCGGCCACACUGGAACUGAGACACGGUCCAGACUCCUACGGGAGGCAGCAGUAGGGAAUCUUCCGCAAUGGGCGAAAGCCUGACGGAGCAACGCCGCGUGAGUGAUGAAGGUCUUCGGAUCGUAAAACUCUGUUAUUAGGGAAGAACAUAUGUGUAAGUAACUGUGCACAUCUUGACGGUACCUAAUCAGAAAGCCACGGCUAACUACGUGCCAGCAGCCGCGGUAAUACGUAGGUGGCAAGCGUUAUCCGGAAUUAUUGGGCGUAAAGCGCGCGUAGGCGGUUUUUUAAGUCUGAUGUGAAAGCCCACGGCUCAACCGUGGAGGGUCAUUGGAAACUGGAAAACUUGAGUGCAGAAGAGGAAAGUGGAAUUCCAUGUGUAGCGGUGAAAUGCGCAGAGAUAUGGAGGAACACCAGUGGCGAAGGCGACUUUCUGGUCUGUAACUGACGCUGAUGUGCGAAAGCGUGGGGAUCAAACAGGAUUAGAUACCCUGGUAGUCCACGCCGUAAACGAUGAGUGCUAAGUGUUAGGGGGUUUCCGCCCCUUAGUGCUGCAGCUAACGCAUUAAGCACUCCGCCUGGGGAGUACGACCGCAAGGUUGAAACUCAAAGGAAUUGACGGGGACCCGCACAAGCGGUGGGGCAUGUGGUUUAAUUCGAAGCAACGCGAAGAACCUUACCAAAUCUUGACAUCCUUUGACAACUCUAGAGAUAGAGCCUUCCCCUUCGGGGGACAAAGUGACAGGUGGUGCAUGGUUGUCGUCAGCUCGUGUCGUGAGAUGUUGGGUUAAGUCCCGCAACGAGCGCAACCCUUAAGCUUAGUUGCCAUCAUUAAGUUGGGCACUCUAAGUUGACUGCCGGUGACAAACCGGAGGAAGGUGGGGAUGACGUCAAAUCAUCAUGCCCCUUAUGAUUUGGGCUACACACGUGCUACAAUGGACAAUACAAAGGGCAGCGAAACCGCGAGGUCAAGCAAAUCCCAUAAAGUUGUUCUCAGUUCGGAUUGUAGUCUGCAACUCGACUACAUGAAGCUGGAAUCGCUAGUAAUCGUAGAUCAGCAUGCUACGGUGAAUACGUUCCCGGGUCU
rnacentral:rRNA from 1 species